rnacentral:rRNA from 1 species
CGGGCCUUGUACACACCGCCCGUCACACCAUGGGAGUUGGUUUUACCUUAAGCCGGUGCGCUAACCCGCAAGGGAGGCAGCCGACCACGGUAAGGUCAGCGACUGGGGUG